rnacentral:rRNA from 1 species
AAGNAAAAUCGCGGCGUGCUAAUACAUGCAAGUCGAGCGAAUGGAUUAAAGAGCUUGCUCUUAUGAAGUUAGCGGCGGACGGGUGAGUAACACGUGGGUAACCUGCCCAUAAGACUGGGAUAACUCCGGGAAACCGGGGCUAAUACCGGAUAACAUUUUGAACUGCAUGGUGCGAAAUUGAAAGGCGGCUUCGGCUGUCACUUAUGGAUGGACCCGCGUCGCAUUAGCUAGUUGGUGAGGUAACGGCUCACCAAGGCAACGAUGCGUAGCCGACCUGAGAGGGUGAUCGGCCACACUGGGACUGAGACACGGCCCAGACUCCUACGGGAGGCAGCAGUAGGGAAUCUUCCGCAAUGGACGAAAGUCUGACGGAGCAACGCCGCGUUGAGUGAUGAAGGCUUUCGGGUCGUAAAACUCUGUUGUUAGGGAAGAACAAGUGCUAGUUGAAUAAGCUGGCACCUUGACGGUACCUAACCAGAAAGCCACGGCUAACUACGUGCCAGCAGCCGCGGUAAUACGUAGGUGGCAAGCGUUAUCCGGAAUUAUUGGGCGUAAAGCGCGCGCAGGUGGUUUCUUAAGUCUGAUGUGAAAGCCCACGGCUCAACCGUGGAGGGUCAUUGGAAACUGGGAGACUUGAGUGCGAAGAGGAAANUGGAAUCCAUGUUGUAGCGGUGAAAUGCGUAAGAUNANGGGAGGGGAAACAACCCAGUUGGCGGAAAGGGCGAACUUCCUGGGUCCUGGUAAAACUGGAACAACUGGAGGGCGGCCGAAAAGCCGUUGGNGGAANCAACACAGGAAUUAGAAUUACCCCUGGGUAAUCCCCACGGCCCGCAAACCGAUGCANUNGCUCCACNCUUNUUCACCAACGGUUCCCCGCCCUUUAUACUGGCUGAAAUUAAACGCAUUAAACCANCGGCUCGNGGGAGAACGGCCCACGCNACAACACAGAUAGACGGGGGGCCCAACNACUGCNACGUCGUCUNUCUUANACACCCACACAACAACUUGUCUANAAAACAAACACAGANCCAUAAAAGAACNAACGAGACUACUGCUGAUCUAACAGCACGAACCACACCAUUGUACNAUCGCGACCAGCACU